rnacentral:rRNA from 1 species
GGUAGUCCAUGGGCGAAGCUGAUCAGCCUGCCGCGUGUGUGAAGAAGGCCUUUCGGGUUGUAAAGCUCUUUCAGCAAGGAGGAAGCUGCCUGGAUUAAUACCCUAGGAUUUGACCGUUCCUAGCAAAAGCACCGGCUAAAUUCGUGCCCCAGCCGCGGUUUAAA